AGUGCAUAGUGCUUGAAUGCACUUCCAUGCUAAGAGACACAGCAGUCACCAUGGGAAUGUGCUUACAGAAUUCCAGACAGGGAAUAGAAUUCCAGGGAUAGAAGUCUCCAGAAAACCACCAUUAAUCUUAAAGGUGUGAAUUUCAUGCUAAAUGAAAACACUGUUGCUGUCUUCAUGCCUGGGAGAACAACAGAAAGAUAUCAAAAGCAUUGUCAAAGUCAGGAAAAAAGUUUAUUCAUCAAACACUGAGAAUAACAGGCAGAGAGCAGAG